rnacentral:rRNA from 1 species
CCGGAGAGGGAGCCUUAAAAACGGCUACCACAUCUAAGGAAGGCAGCAGGCGCGCAAAUUACCCAAUCCUGAUACAGGGAGGUAGUGACAAGAAAUAACACAGAGAGUGCUUUUUGCAUUUCUCUUUAGAAUGAGUAGAAUUUAAAUCUCUUUUCGACUAUCAAUUGGAGGGCAAGUCUGGUGCCAGCAGCCGCGGUAAUUCCAGCUCCAAUAGCGUAUAUUAAAGUUGUUGCGGUUAAAAAGCUCGUAGUUGGAUUUCUGUCGAGAACGCGCGGUCCACGCUUUGCGUGAGUAUCUGUGUCGGUCUUGGCAUCCUCUGGAGGUGCGUUUCUGCGCUUGAUUGCGUGGAGCGGAACUUCAGACUUUUACUUUGAGGAAAUUAGAGUGUUCACGGCAGGCAAACGCCUUGAAUACAUUAGCAUGGAAUAAUAACAUAGGAUCUCGGUUCUAUUUUGUUGGUUUCUAGAGCUGAGAUAAUGAUUAAUAGGGAUAAUUGGGGGCAUUCGUAUUAACACGUCAGAGGUGGAAUUCUUGGAUUGUGUUACGACGAACUACUGCGAAAGCAUUUGCCAAGGAUGUUUUCAUUGAUCAAGAACGAAAGUAAGGGGAUCGAAGACGAUUAGAUACCGUCGUAGUCUUAACCAUAAACUAUGCCGACUAGAGAUUGGAGGUCGUUUUUUUUAUGACUCCUUCAGCACCUUAUGAGAAAUCAAAGUCUUUGGGUUCCGGGGGGAGUAUGGUCGCAAGGCUGAAACUUAAAGGAAUUGACGGAAGGGCACCACCAGGAGUGGAGCCUGCGGCUUAAUUUGACUCAACACGG